UGAAAGAGCGACGUUCAGUCGUCCCCACCCUUCAGCGCGAGAGGUCGCGUCGGCUAGCGCGUGCGCACGUCUUCUAGAUGCUGCAGAAGAUUGGGUUUUUGUGAAGCAAGCUGCUAUGUUGGAAAGAGCCAUGUGGCAAGAAACUAAGGAAGGCCUGUGGCCAACAGCCAGUAAAGUAACUGGGACCCUCAGUCCAAGAGCCUGUGAAGAAUUGAGUCCUGCAAAUAACUGCUGAAUGAUCUUGGAAGCACAUCCUGCCCCAGUUGAACCUGAAAUGCCUGUAGUCCAAGCUGACAUCUUGAUUACAGCCUCCAGAGAGACUCUGAAGCAGAGAAACCCAUCUAGUCCAUGUCUGUAUUUUGGAUGCACAAAAACUGUGACAUUAAAAUGUUUGUUUACUCAGGAA